CUGUAAUUCUCGAGCUCCUUAAGACAUCAGUUGUGCAACCUCCCUCCCAUUCUACUGUUUGCUUUUAUUGCUUGUGGGUCAGAAGCAGUGCAGUCUACAAGGAUUUCCUCCUUUCCUUCAAUUACUCCUGAAAGGCACUGCUUCUCAAGCCUGAUGUUUAAGUCAUGGAUUAUUUCCUAAACAGCACUGGGGCUGAAGCAGGAGGCAAAUGGCCGAUUCUCUCUGGAGGAAGAUGUGAAAAUCCAGGAUCCUGUGGACAUCGGUGGCUUUGGCUCCCUUGGGCGAGUGAGCAGAGUGAUGCUUCUCAGACUGCAGAAAGGCCCUCACAGACACACCCAGAAGUAAAGAAUAAUAUAUAAAUAGCUUCCUGGGGAUCCUUCAGAAUGUCUUCCUGUUUGUGUAUCCUCUACUAUCAAUGCAAAGUACCUCUCAUCCAAUUUUCCACAGUCAACCCAAUGCGAAUACAAUCGACCCUCUGCGUCCUACUGUUCUGCAUCCCUGGAUUCAACCAACCAUCCAUUGAAGAUAUUUGGAAACAAAAACUGCACUUCUAGAGCAGCAAGAGACAUAGCACUCCUCCCCUGCAGAGACCACAGAAUCAUGGCGUCAUCUUGGAAGCAAAGAACAGCCCUCACCAGACACUAAACCUGUUGGCACUUUGAUGUUGGACUUCCCAGCAUCCAGAACUCUAAAAACUAAAAUUACUCAGUGCUUGUUAUUUUGUUCUAGCACACAAAUGGACUAAGAUAUUGCUAUAUUUUCUAGUGUUGAAAAUACAUUCAAUGUAACAAUUGCCCUCAGAUGUUGUCUAACAUAUAACUAAGAUCUAAAAAAUGCAACAAAAGCUUUGUGUUUUAGACUGGUGUUGUAUAUAAGAGUAAGAGGAGAGACAGGAAACUAGCCUGAUUUGAGAGGGAUGUAUUUGGGGCACCCAGUGUAACACCACACACAUAGAAGCCAAUAAAUAAAUGUUUGUUGAGUUAAUAAAAAGUGAGGUCUGUGAACAGGGGACUUUAUUAUUAUGGGAGGCACAGGGUGCAGUAGAAAUGGCUCUGGCCUUGAGGACACAUCUGUCCUGCACAUCUUUUGCUGCUCCUUCAUCCACUCCAGCCCUUAUGUACCUUAUGUACCUUAUGUACCCAUGAUGGCCUCCACUUGAGCUCUCUCCCCUUCUGGCUCUCAGAUAGGUAGGGCCAGUGGGGAGCAAUGGGAGAGGUCAGAGGGAGAAGGGAAGAGAAGGAGGCCACAGUACUCAAUCCUUGACCCCUUCCUUGUAAUGUCUAGGGAUAGCUGUGUCUCCCAAUCACAAGCCACUGUCCUGCCCUUUUUGACCUCCGACCCCAUCAACAUUCCAAGGGUGGAAAUGGUGAGGUUGGUGCUCUCCUCUGGGCACUGUUGUAACCUGUGGCUUCCCAACACCCUGCUGUAAACAGUCUUUUGAUGAAAGUCUUCUCAAAUUGCUUAAUUUGGACAGUGACAGCCUUUCCCACAUGGGCCUGUACAGCUAUGCUUGUUCAUAGGGAACACUUGGUUUUGUGCAGUAAAAAUCCAGUGAAGUGUGUUAAAGAAAAAAGCAAAGACAUGGGGUGAUGCAUGAGAAGCUGUUGAGUAACUUCUAGGGCCCAGAGGCAAGGUCAUCAGAACCCUUCCCAUGUGGUGCCAGAACUGGAACUAGAAGGUCAGCAGGAAGUAAAAUGGCCAUGCAAGGCACCCCCCAGGCCUCAGUGGGGCUUUCAUAGCUGCUUCCCUCUGCAUGUCCCCCUGUCUCUCCCCACUAGCCAUGCCUGUCUCUCUUGGUUUCCCUGGUGAGAGAUGUUCCUCCCUUAAUUUACAGGUUCACAUGUUCUUAACUCAACUCACUAAGGUUCACAAUGCCUCUUAGGCCUUAAAAGAAUAACUAGGCUUUUCCACACAGGGCCAACACUCCACGCUUAUCCAAUUAGCUAUGGCAGGAGGAUCUGGGUCUGUUGUAUUUCUGCCUUCAUGAAUGAGGAAACAGUGGUAUAGUUACAUAAUUUUUAAGGUCACAUGGUGGUAGGACAAG
ensembl:lncRNA